rnacentral:rRNA from 1 species
AGCAGUCGCCGCGGUAAUACGUAGGUCCCGAGCGUUGUCCGGAUUUAUUGGGCGUAAAGCGAGCGCAGGCGGUUUGAUAAGUCUGAAGUUAAAGGCUGUGGCUCAACCAUAGUUCGCUUUGGAAACUGUCAAACUUGAGUGCAGAAGGGGAGAGUGGAAUUCCAUGUGUAGCGGUGAAAUGCGUAGAGAUGUGGAGGAACACCAGUGGCGAAGGCGACUCUCUGGUCUGUAACUGACGCUGAGGAGCGAAAGCGUGGGGAGCGAACAGGAUUAGAUACCCCUGUAGUCCCUGUCUCUUAUACA